rnacentral:rRNA from 1 species
CGUGUAGGCGGCCAUGUAGGUCCGUUGUGAAAACUCGAGGCUCAACCUCGAGACGCCGAUGGAAACCAUGUGGCUAGAGUCCGGAAGAGGAGAGUGGAAUUCCUGGUGUAGCGGUGAAAUGCGCAGAUAUCAGGAAAAACACCCGUGGCUAAGGCGGCUCUCUAGUACGGUACUGACGCUGAGACGCGAAAGCGUGGGAGCGAACA